CAUUUAAAAUUUAGUUGUAGCUUCUGUUUUUAAAUGAUUUUCGUUGUAGUCGACAUUAGUCUGCACUCAUUAUUAUCACUAUAACUCUGUUUCAGAAUCAUUGGAGGAUAUACUUUCAUACUUGAAAGCGAAAAAACAACAUUCAAAGCGAGGUGCAAAAAGAAAACUGCUGAUGUUCUUACUUCAUCAAUUAGACAUAGACGGCAAUACCUGCAUUCAGUGGAUAGACCAAUACAAAGGCAUUUUUCAAAUACUAGACGCAACCACGCUAAGCAAAAGAUGGGGUGAAGUCAAAUCAAAGAAGCAUAUGAAUUUUGAAACUAUGAGUCGUGGAAUGAGGUCUUACUACAAGAAUAGAAUUAUUUCCCAUGUUUGCAAAUUGACUUACAAGUUGGACUGGGACAAUAUCGCUGAGAUGCCACGUUACUCAGGUUAAAAUUGUAUGCACUGUUCUGGUUUAAUUUACACUGUACUGUGG